UCAAUGCCCUGGCCACUCACUUUCUGAUGUUGCACGACGGGAAAUGCUUUGAAUACUUGCGACAUGGCCGCUCGCAUUGAUUGCCAAGAUUGACAGCUCUGCAUCGUCUUCUCUUGUCUCAGAGAGAGAGGGAGAUAAAGAGGAUAGAGAACAACAAAAGCUCCUUGCAGUUUUGACAAUUAAACUUCAUAGAAAGAACGGGAUCCCCUCAUAUAGCCAGUGGGAACCACAGCAGACUUUAGUUCUCUUUCCUUUUCUCUACAGAUAGUAAUCAUUAUGUUUUAACAUAAUACAGCGUGAAACACACGACUCGGGAUACGAUACCGUCAGGACCUGCAUCUCUCUUUUCUCCACUGAUCUCAAGAACUAUCUGCACGUGGACUUCAGAGGAACUUGUGGUUUUGCGAGAGAGAAAAACAUUUCCGAACUGGAUCCGGGCAUAAAGAUAUCGACUCCCUGACGCAUAUGGUGCCAGUCACUUUCAUGAGUUCAAAAUCAACUAACCAGUGAUCGCUGGGUGCUGGGUGCUGGGUGCUGGGUGCUGGGGAUUUAGUCUUUCUGUUUGUAAUCCCACACGCUGACAUGGAGGGCUUUCUUCGUAGCAGCUUUUUACUGAG